rnacentral:rRNA from 1 species
UACAGAGGGUGCAAGCGUUGUUCGGAAUUAUUGGGCGUAAAGCGCGUGUAGGCGGCUUUGCAAGUCGGGUGUGAAAGCCCUCAGCUCAACUGAGGAAGUGCGCCCCGAAACUGCAGAGCUUGAGUACCGGAGAGGGUGGCGGAAUUCCCCAAGUAGAGGUGAAAUUCGUAGAUAUGGGGAGGAACACCGGUGGGCGAAGGCGGCCACCUGGACGGUCACUGACGCUGAGACGCGAAAGCGUGGGGAGCAAACAGG